GACGAACGCUGGCGGCGUGCCUAAUACAUGCAAGUAGAACGCAGUUGAGAACGGGUGAGUAACGCGUAGGUACCCGCCUCAUAGCGGGGGAUAACUAUUGGAAACGAUAACUAAUACCGCAUACUGUGAGAUGGACCUGCUUUGUAUUAGCUAGUUGGUGAGGUAAAGGCCCAACAAGGCGACGGUACAUAGCCGACCGUAGAGGGAGACAUGCCAAAAUGGGAAUGAGACACGGCCCAGACUGCAUCGGGCGGCAGACGUAGGGAAUAUUCGGAAAUUGAGGGAAGUCUGACUGAGCAACUCCCCGUGAGUGAAGAAGGUUUUCGGAUCGUAAAGCUCUGUUGUUAGAGAAGCGGUAACUAGCCAGAAAGGGACGGCUAACUACGUGCCAGCAGCCGCGGUAAUAC
rnacentral:rRNA from 1 species